GGAGACCAACUUAGAGCCAGACCCAAUCCCAAAGGAAAGUCAGCGCUAAGAGAAUCCAGGUCGGUCGAGGGAAAUAAAGAGAAAGCUUUCAAACUAUUAGGUUCGGUGAAUGGGCUAUUAGCUCAGGUGGUUAGAGCGCACCCCUGAUAAGGGUGAGGUCCCUGGUUCGAGUCCAGGAUGGCCCACCUCUACAAAAGUAGGGGGAGUGAAAUCGCACCUAAAGUAAAAACUACUGAAUCUCAGCCCCUUAACUUGUAAUUCAAAGCAAGUCAGACGGCUGAGCUUUAAAGCUUCAGCAAGAACCUUGAAAACUGCAUAGCAACAAAAAUUCUGUCAGGUAGAGCGCUUUGAGGACUAAAUAGCUCAAAAAGCUAAGAACUCAAAGCGAAGUAUCACAGACACUAAGAAAACAAUAGGUGUCAAGCGAAUAA
rnacentral:tRNA from 1 species